GGAAGAGUGGCAGAGUGGCCGAUCGCGUCUGUCUCGAAAACAGAUUCACCGCAAGGUGACGGGGGUUCAAAUCCCUCCUCUUCCG
rnacentral:tRNA from 1 species